rnacentral:rRNA from 1 species
AGAGUUUGAUCAUGGCUCAGAACGAACGCUGGCGGCGUGCUUAACACAUGCAAAGUCGAACGCGAAAAGGGGGCUUCGGGCCCUGAGUAAAGCGGCGAACGGGUGAGUAUCGCGUGGGAAACCUGCCUUCAAGUGGGGGAUAACACUCCUAACGGGGUGCUAAUACCGCAUGACACCCUUGGGUCGCAUGGCCCGAGUGUCAAAGGUGGCCUCUACUUGUAAGCUACCGCUUGAAGAUGGUCCCGCGUCCGAUUAGCUAGUUGGCGGGGUAACGGCCCACCAAGGCGACGAUCGGUAGCUGGUCUGAGAGGAUGGUCAGCCACACUGGGACUGAGAUACGGCCCAGACUCCUACGGGAGGCAGCAGUCGAGAAGCUUCGGCAAUGGGCGAAAGCCUGACCGAGCGACGCCGCGUGAGCGAUGAAGGCCCUAGUGGUUGUAAAGCUCUGUCAGAUUGGGAAUAAAUGGCCGGGGGGGCGAAUAACCCCCGGGAGCUGAAGGUACCGUCAGAGGAAGCACCGGCUAACUCCGUGCCAGCCGCCGCGGUAAUA